AUAUUUUUUUAACUCUCGUUUCUGUCAUUACAGGUCAAGCCCAAACCUAACCCAGCUAGCGUACAAGGACUUCUGAGAGACUUAAUGUUGACAGUUAUUUCAUUGAUUUAAGGUAAUUCUUUCGGUAGUAUUGACUGCUGCUGGGGUUAUGAUUGCAGCGCUGGGAGAUUUUUCUUUUGACCUUGUUGGAUAUAGCAUGGCCUUUACUUCUGUUUUCUUCCAGACCAUGUACCUUGUGUUGGUGGAGAAGUCUGGUGCAGAGGACGGACUUUCAUCAGUUGAGAUCAUGUUCUAUAACAGCUUUUUGUCUUUACCAUUUCUGGUAUUUCUUAUCAUAGCUACAGGAGAGUUUCCAGAUUCUUUGUCAUUGUUAUUUGCAAAGGUCAGGAUCUUAACCUAUGUUCACUAUGUUUUAAUACUGUUCUUGAAUGUGUUGGAAAGCAGAAAUCUUUGUUUUUAAUGCUUAGGCAAGGAA